GGCCCUAUGGCGCAAUGGUAGCGCGUCGGAUUCCAGAGAUCUCGGAUUUACCCGAAGGUUUUGUGUUCAAAUCACAAUGGGGUCA